UACUAAUUCAAUGCCUCAAUCAAUCUCUUAUAAUGAACCAGUUACAAACAAUACUAAAAGCCAUGCAAAUAUGAAUAGAGUAUCAACAAGGACGAA